UGCUGAGCUCCUUAAAUGUAGGAUCAUUUAUCAUUCAUCUUUGGACCCUCAAUAACAUACACAGUCACUGUUUCCACUAGGAACACUAAUUUUAUAGGAUGUGGAUGGCCAGCAGCCAUUUUAUUUUCUCUGCUACAUUGAGAAAGCUGUCUAAGAUGAGGAGGAAGAGGAGAAAAAAGAGGUAGAGGAGAAGGACUCUGAUGACACUAUUUCAGCUCUCGAUUUAGCUGUAUAGGAAAGCAAUAUAUCCCAGACUUUUAAUUUAUGUGAACUCAGUAAAUUUCUUUUACACUUAAGCUACUUUGAAUUGAGGUUUUUUACUUGUAACCAGAAGUGUCCUUGCAUACCAGAAAUGCGGUCAAUAGAUUCCAAAUUAUGGAAUUGGUUAAGCAGAGGCAAGCCACAGCAGUGUGAGGAUUCUCCCAUUCAGGACUAAUAGUACCUGAUGAGGAUGUUUCUAGAGAUGGUGGGACCAGGAAAGAAAAUUGUUCUGCUGGCCUCAACUGUAAAUGUGUCCUGCCUUGGAGAUGUACCCCUCUCGUGUGUUGGCAAGUUCUGUACACGGGCUUGGAAGAGGUAAUAGGUUUCCCAGAGCGGGAAAUACAGAGACGGUGUUUGUUUCUUUCAGCCAUUUUAUUUCCGGGCAUGCUAAUUAAAUCUGUUUCCUGGAUGAAAGAAAUUGAGAGGUUUGAGGCCCACAGGAAAUGCCUCUCGGUUUAAGUGGACCCAGGCUCACCUCUAUUUGUAAGCAGGUAUGUAAACAUACCUCUAUAUGCAGCCACCUGCAGGGUGUGCGUUGAGGAAAAGCCUGGCCCUGCCUGUCAUAGUGGGCUCUUUCUAGUGGAAGUCAGCUGAUCUGAGAAGCACUCUGCCUGAUGAAGAAAAUCUGGAUAAAACACAUGCCAGGACUGAUGAGGAUCAGAGAUGGGAAAUCACGCUGCUCUGCUAUAACCUUCCUCUGCUUGUAGCUCCUUAAGUUUCCUUAUCUCCUCCCCCUUAGAGAUGAGUUGAGAUUAAGUCCACUUUUUCUUCUGCUUUAUGUAGUCUGGGCUUGUGGAGGUCCAGAUGUUUUAUAUCUCUACUAAGAGUUGUCUUUUUCCAUCUAAUAAUAAUAAGAUCCCCAUUAGGAUUAGUCAGUAAUAUAUCCAAUCCUGGAGCAGUGAGAUUAAGAGACUCAUGGAGCUAGGCUUCCUUUGGACCAAAGCGCUAAUAUUGCCUAGAAUAUUGCCUCUUUUCCGUGC
rnacentral:lncRNA from 1 species